rnacentral:pre_miRNA from 19 species
CUUUGUGGUCUUCCACAGCUUUCUUGAACUGCAUCUUUGAGAGAGAUUAGCAUCCCUAUGUGUGGAUUUUGCUUGCACGAGUGUGCAGUUCAAUAAAGCUGUGGGAAAUUACAGAGA